UUGGUCAUGAUAAGACAUUUAAGUUUAUACCCAAGUAUUGUCUGAAUUAAAAUAGGUCUGCUCCCACAUUCGAACGAUCAAACAGAGUCUGGUCGCACAUUUUUGGAUAUGCAGACUUUCAAUAAGUAGACGGCGUGACUAAAAUAAAGUGAACAGCAUACAUAAAAUAUAUAGAAUAGACAGAGAAAGAUACAAGAUCACAAUUUAAAAAUGAAGUUGGAAGUGAUUCUAGUCGCAUUUUUAGUUUGUCUGUAUCAGGUGACCUGUGCUCCUUUACCACCAAAUGCCGAUACACCUGCAACGGAAUUACAAGGUGGAGCACUACCAAGGCUAGAGGUGGUAGAGGUGACAGAACCACCAACGAUGGUACGAGCAACUCCUGCUGUAGAAAAACAACAGUUUGUGGUGCCCAAUUCGAAUGACUUUAUUAAAGUUCCUAUAUAUGUUGAAGUAGGGUUGGAUGAGUUGAAACAAGGAUUAUAGUUAUGUAGGUGUUCAAGAAACAACUGAAGGGCAUCUUUCAUUCCCGAUGGUUUUUACAUUGGAAUUACCGCCAUAUUUGGAGUUAUGUAACAAAAAAUAUAAAUUAAGUAUCAAAAUUCCGUCAAGUGGACUAAGCAUUUCCAAAUGAGAAAGGAAAAAAUAUGAUUAAUUUUCAUAUCUUAGAAUCACUUUAAAUAAUUUUUAUUUGUGUGUAAGGUUAGGCCUAUAUCUUAAAAGUAUAGAUAAGUAUGGUAUUAUUUUUGUGUGAUCUAUUGUCAACAUAAAUGAAAUAUUUUUAUUCUAAAGUCAAUCAAAAACUCUGCUAACUAUGUUAUUUUGGCGAAGGUGCACAGACAUCUGGAAUAUAUAGUUACAAUAUUGUUACUUUACUAUAUCUCUCCCGAAUAUUUUUACAUUGCUUUAUCUCUGUUGACUAUUGUUACAUCACUAUAUCUCGAAUAUUGUUACAUCACUAUAAUAUAUCUCGAAUAUUGUUACAUCACUAUAUCUGGAAUAUUGUUGCAUCACUAUUUCUCGAAUAUUGUUACAUUUCAUUAUUUGAACAUAGAUCUUAACAUAGAUGAUAGUAAGAAUAUAUUUAGUAUAUUUAUAAAAUUAAUGUAUUCGAUGUUGAAGAUAAUUAUGGAACUUUAUUGUUUCUAAAUGGUUUUAUGGAGGGGGCUAUAAUGGUUUUGAUUCUCGGUAUGUAAAUAAAUGGGAAAUCACUGUAUUUGAAUUUAAAUACGUAAUUUUUGUUAUGUCCAUUUUGUUUGUAAUAAACUGGA